CAAGUCAUUAUUUGCUGCUUU
rnacentral:miRNA from 2 species